rnacentral:rRNA from 1 species
GGCUCAGGAUGAACGCUAGCGGCAGGCUUAAUACAUGCAAGUCGUGGGGCAGCAUGAGUAGCAAUACUUGAUGGCGACCGGCAAACGGGUGAGGAACACGUACACAACCUUCCUUCAAGCGGGGAAUAGCCCAGAGAAAUUUGGAUUAAUACCCCAUAAUAUAUUUGAUAAGGCAUCUUAUUAAUAUUAAAAACUUCGGCACUUGAUGAUGGGUGUGCGGCUGAUUAGAUAGUUGGCGGGGUAACGGCCCACCAAGUCUACGAUCAGUAGCUGAUGUGAGAGCAUGAUCAGCCACACGGGCACUGAGACACGGGCCCGACUCCUACGGGAGGCAGCAGUAAGGAAUAUUGGACAAUGGACGAAAGUCUGAUCCAGCCAUGCCGCGUGAAGGAUUAAGGUCCUCUGGAUUGUAAACUUCUUUUAUAUGGGACGAAAAAGGGCAUUCUUGUUCACUUGACGGUACCAUAUGAAUAAGCACCGGCUAACUCCGUG